rnacentral:rRNA from 1 species
GUAGGUGGCAAGCGUUGUCCGGAAUUAUUGGGCGUAAAGCGCGCGCAGGCGGUUCUUUAAGUCUGAUGUGAAAGCCCACGGCUCAACCGUGGAGGGUCAUUGGAAACUGGAGAACUUGAGUACAGAAGAGGAAAGCGGAAUUCCACGUGUAGCGGUGAAAUGCCUAGAGAUGUGGAGGAACACCAGUGGCGAAGGCGGCUUUCUGGUCUGUAACUGACGCUGAGGCGCGAAAGCGUGGGGAGCAAACAGGAUUAGAUACCCUGGUAGUCCACGCCGUAAACGAUGAGUGCUAAGUGUUAGGGGGUUUCCGCCCCCCUUAGUGCUGCAGCUAACGCAUUAAGCACUCCGCCUGGGAGUACGGCCGCAAGGCUG